rnacentral:tRNA from 1 species
UCCUUGAUAGUCCAGUGGCUAAGACUCUGCAUUCCCAAUGCAGGGGUCCUGGGUUCAAUCCCUGGUCAGGGAA